GUGAUGGUUCAAGGUCCUGGUCCAUGGUAUGGACAUGUGAUGGCCUUGGUUGGUCAACGAUUCUUAUUGACAAUUGGUGGCAAUGAUGGAAAACGACCCCUGGCAGAUGUAUGGGCCCUUGAUACUGCGGCCAAGCCAUAUGAAUGGAG